UUACUGCUAUCGAGAUUCGACUAAGCCAUGCGAGUUGAGUGUUCUUCGUGAACAUGGCGGACUGCUCGUAACACGUGGACAACCUACCCUUGGGUCCGACAUGAUCCUGGAAACUGGGGAUAAUUCCGGAUAGGUCACCGAUGCUGGAGGCGCGGUGGCCGAAAGCUCCGGCGCCCGAGGAUGGGUCGCAGCCUAUCAGGGUUGUAGUGGUGUAACGUACCACUAGCCUACGACGGGUACGGAUUGUGAGAGCAAGAGCCCGGAGAGGAUUCUGAGCACGAAUCCAGGCCCUACGGGGCGCAGCAGGCGCGAUG
rnacentral:rRNA from 1 species